rnacentral:rRNA from 1 species
CAUGCAAGUCGAACGGACCCUUCGGGGUUAGUGGCGGACGGGUGAGUAACACGUGGGAACGUGCCUUUAGGUUCGGAAUAGCUCCUGGAAACGGGUGGUAAUGCCGAAUGUGCCCUUAGGGGGAAAGAUUUAUCGCCUUUAGAGCGGCCCGCGUCUGAUUAGCUAGUUGGUGAGGUAAUGGCUCGCCAAGGCGACGAUCAGUAGCUGGUCUGAGAGGAUGACCAGCCACAUUGGGACUGAGACACGGCCCAAACUCCUACGGGAGGCAGCAGUGGGGAAUCUUGCGCAAUGGGCGAAAGCCUGACGCAGCCAUGCCGCGUGAAUGAUGAAGGUCUUAGGAUUGUAAAAUUCUUUCACCGGGGACGAUAAUGACGGUACCCGGAGAAGAAGCCCCGGCUAACUUCGUGCCAGCAGCCGCGGUAAUACGAAGGGGGCUAGCGUUGCUCGGAAUUACUGGGCGUAAAGGGCGCGUAGGCGGAUCGUUAAGUCAGAGGUGAAAUCCCGGAGCUCAACUUCGGAACUGCCUUUGAUACUGGCGAUCUUGAGUGUGAGAGAGGUAUGUGGAACUCCGAGUGUAGAGGUGAAAUUCGUAGAUAUUCGGAAGAACACCAGUGGCGAAGGCGACAUACUGGCUCAUUACUGACGCUGAGGCGCGAAAGCGUGGGGAGCAAACAGGAUUAGAUACCCUGGUAGUCCACGCCGUAAACGAUGAUUGCUAGUUGUCGGGCUGCAUGCAGUUCGGUGACGCAGCUAACGCAUUAAGCAAUCCGCCUGGGGAGUACGGUCGCAAGAUUAAAACUCAAAGGAAUUGACGG